GACGAACGCUGGCGGCGUGCCUAACACAUGCAAGUCGAACGAGGUCCAAGGAAGCUUGCUUCCUGAAGACCUAGUGGCGAACGGGUGAGUAACACGUGAGAAACCUGCCUCGGAGUGGGGAAUAACUCGGGGAAACUCGAGCUAAUACCGCAUACCUUCACAUGAUCGCAUGGUCGAGUGAAGAAAGAAUUUCGCUCUGAGAGGGUCUCGCGGCCUAUCAGCUUGUUGGUGGGGUAACGGCCUACCAAGGCAACGACGGGUAGGCUGGUUUGAGAGAACGAUCAGCCACACUGGGACUGAGACACGGCCCAGACUCCUACGGGAGGCAGCGGUGGGGAAUCUUGCGCAAUGGGCGAAAGCCUGACGCAGCAACGCCGCGUGCGGGAUGACGGCCUUCGUGGUUGU
rnacentral:rRNA from 1 species